rnacentral:tRNA from 1 species
UGGGGUGUGGCUUAGAGGUAGAGUGCUUGCCUCAGACGUGUGAAGCACUGGGUUCAAUCCUCAGCCCCACAU